rnacentral:lncRNA from 1 species
UUGCAAACAGCAGGACAGAUGCUCAGAGCUUUCUGUCCCUCAUCUAGAGAUCUUUGUAUCUCACUGCUGGUUUUUCCACACUGUGCUGUGCUAACUCAAUACACAUGCUUUAUGCAUUUUCAGUGGAGUGACCAAGGACAUAGCUGUACCCCUGUCCACACUUCCCACCCACAACUGGGCAAUUUUAAUCCGCCCUGUACUGGACACGGAUAAUACUUUGUUUGAACCACAUAACAUUUUGUUUAGUUUCACUAAAAAAGUAAAAAGGAAUAAAAGAGGAACUUGCUUUUCUAUACCAAAGCGCACACUCCACACAGUAGGCUGAUGGCAAAAAUAAAAAACAGUGACCAUGAAUCAGUUUUCCAUGUACCAAAAGGGUGGUGGCCUUAUAAAGAGAAAAUUAUUUUCCUAGAAAAGCAUACUUUGCUCUCAGAACAAGAUUACACAGACAAUGACUAGCUUCCUAUCUCCUCAUGAAGGAAUUACAUUGUAACCACUGUAUUCAUAGCUAGUUCUCGUGGUAAUUCUGAGAACACAUAAUGUGAAAUUUGAAUAAUUUCUGUUGGAAUACAAUAGAAUGUCAAUUUCUGUGUAGAUGGACACAGGAAAUCUCACAGUAAGCUAGUAGACUGUUGGGGGAGGGCUUUGUAAUGAGAGAAAAGGAUAAAUUAGAAUACAGUCCAAGCUUCACAUGCCACGAUGUUCACCCUUCUAUGUUAACUAUAAACUCUUUGGGUCUUGCCACAUAAGUAUGUACCAUGCAUCUGCAUUACGAAUUAAUCUAAGCCAAGUAAAAUCACUACAGACAUUGACAAAUUGUCUAACUUUAUCUUUGGGUUAAUAUCUCAUGUCUUUAAAAUUGUUUCUUGAGUGGUGGCCAAAAUAAAAUAUAUAUAUAUGUAAGCUAUUUUAUAUAUACAUAUGUUAUAUCUAUGUAAGGUAUACAUCUAUAUAGAUGUAUGUAUAAUAUAUUACAAAAUUAUGUAAUAUAAUCCAUAUGUGUACAUGUGUGUAUAUAUGCAUAUGUGUGUAUGUGUAUAUAAUGUGCAUAUAUACAUUAGCUCUGGAAUAAAAUCGACUUAGCACCAU